rnacentral:rRNA from 1 species
GAAUCUUGGACAAUGGGGGAAACCCUGAUCCAGCGACGCCGCGUGACCGAUGAAGGCCCUCGGGUCGUAAAGGUCUUUCGACGGGGAAAAUAGUGAUGGUACCCGUAUAAGAAGGAGCGGCUAACUACGUGCCAGCAGCCGCGGUAAUACGUAAGCUCCAAGCGUUGUUCGGAAUUACUGGGCGUAAAGCGAGUGUAGGCGGUCCGUCAAGUUGGUUGUGAAAUCUCCUGGCUCAACUGGGAGGGUGCGACCAAAACUGACGGACUCGAGUCCGGGAGAGGAGAGUGGAAUUCCUGGUGUAGCGGUGAAAUGCGUAGAUAUCAGGAGGAACACCGGUGGUGAAGACGGCUCUCUGGACCGGUACUGACGCUGAGACUCGAAAGCGUGGGGAGCAAACAGG